rnacentral:rRNA from 1 species
UACGUAGGGUGCGAGCGUUGUCCGGAAUUAUUGGGCGUAAAGGGCUCGUAGGCGGUCUGUCGCGUCGGGAGUGAAAACUCAGGGCUUAACCCUGAGCCUGCUUCCGAUACGGGCAGACUAGAGGUAUGCAGGGGAGAACGGAAUUCCUGGUGUAGCGGUGGAAUGCGCAGAUACCAGGAGGAACACCGGUGGCGAAGGCGGGUCUCUGGGCCGUAACUGACGCUGAGGAGCGAAAGCGUGGGGAGCGAACAGG